UCUCUUUAUCACGUAUGCUCCCAACUAACUUCAGGUACGCCGCCUUCUUCGCUUCCACUUUACUUUGGAACACUUCAUUCCACCACCAAUCUCCUCUGUGCCCACCAGAGACGCUCGUCAAGACCCCUAACACUUCUCUUGCAGCCUCCCUUACACAUUCGGAUGUCGCCGACCAUAUAGUGCUCGCGUCACCACUGCUCUUCCAAGCUCUCAUAGCCGGCAAUUGUCCCCCCAACUCCUGAGCUUUAUCCUUAAUUAAAGCCAUUUCAUUUCAAGAAGAAUAAAUUUGUAAAAUUUAUC
rnacentral:lncRNA from 1 species